UACGUAGGGUGCAAGCGUUAAUCGGAAUUACUGGGCGUAAAGCGUGCGCAGGCGGUUCGUUGUGUCGGCGGUGAAAGCCCCGGGCUCAACCUGGGAAUGGCCGUUGAAACUGGCGAACUGGAGUGUGGCAGAGGGGGGUGGAAUUCCGAGUGUAGAGGUGAAAUUCGUAGAUAUUCGGAAGAACACCAGUGGCGAAGGCGACUCACUGGACACGUAUUGACGCUGAGGUGCGAAAGCGUGGGGAGCAAACAGG
rnacentral:rRNA from 1 species